rnacentral:lncRNA from 1 species
UGUACAGCAAGGUGGGCUACGUUUCAAAUUGUUUUUUGAGAGAUUCUGAUGGUGACACAUGAAGACCCUGGAUACCUUUUAACUGAGCAGAGCCAAGAGGGCCUUCCCAAGACAGUCCCCUCCCCCACAUCCUCUGCCUUAGCUCCUUUCCCAAGUACCUAGAUAACAGUAUCUGAUACACAUUUCCUGAGUUGUUGUACAGAUGCUAAAAUCCCCACCAAAUGGAAGAAACUAACUACCUGAUCAUGAGCAAGUAGCCCGCAGACUUACUGGAGCCUGAGGAUUGAUAAUGCUCACUUCUGUGGCCCUGCCCUGUUACUUCACGAUCAAUGAAUCAGAGAAUUAUGCACGGGCUCACCACAUAUCCUGUGACCCCCUCAUCCCUCAUCUGGCUUUUAAAAAUGCUUCCCUGAAACCCAUGGGGGAGUGCAGGUGGUUUUGAGCAUGAGCUGCCCGUUCUCCUUGCUUUGUACCCUGCAAUAAAUACUGCACUUUCCUUCACCACAACUCAGUGUCAGUAGAUUGGCUUUACUGUGUGUGGGCAAGUAGACCCAGUUUGGUUUAGAAACAAUCUGAGGGAUAGGGCAGAACCCAAGCAGGGAAGAGAGAAAGUGAGAAGAACCAGGACUCUUCAGACACACGGUGACUCACCCGUGUGUGUGUCUGUCUUGACAGAAGUGGUGCAGAGUUCAGGCUGCUGCACAGUAGUCUCUAACUUUCUUUGCACACAUUAAAUGGCCGACAGUUCUGCCCUAUUUCCAUCAGCUACCCAUUUUGACUUUUCUUCCAGGAGGCAGGUGAAAUCUGACCAUCUUCUCCUCCUACAAUGACCAUGCCAUGGAGUUAAAUGCAGACUUCACCUAACUCAGUGCUGCCUAUGACUCCCAACCCUGACACAUGGAACUUUCCAGAGUUAUCCAUAGCCAGCCUUAAGCUGGGGAGGGGAGGGGAAUGGAGAUGUUUUAUGUUGUGAUCAACUUCAGCCCUGAAUCCAUACAGACCUGUCUCUUAAUGAAAGAAUAAUAAUAGCAGUUAACAUUUAACUCAUUCAUUCUUCAUAUAGUACUUGCUAGCCUGGAAUUUAUACUCCAGUGCAGGGAGACAAACAAAUAAAUGAAAAAUCAAAUACAUAAAAUGCCCUAUGGUACAAGUGCUGGGAAGAAUAAAGCCAGGGAAGGAUAUGAUGAGGGCAGGUCAGCCUGAAGGCUCAGCAAGCUGGGCAGUGGCACAGGCCUGGCCCAGUUUGGGGGCAGCGCGGGGGAGGUAAAAGCUGAGGUCAGAGGUGGCAGGCCCAGGGCCCCAAGGGCAUGGCACCAGGUAAGGCAUUUGACUUCUGCCCUGAGUCAGAUAAGAAGCCCUGGCUGGUUUGCACCAAGGGCUAACAAGAUCUACAUGCAACGUGGAGAGGAAGCUGGAGGAGCAUCAGAGCAGAUGUGGCAAAAGCUAGUUAGGAGACAGACAGAUGACAGUGGCUUGGACCAGGGUGGUGGCAGCAGAGAUGGCAACAACUGUUCAGAUUCUAGAUUUAUUCUGAAGGAGAGGUGACAGGAUUGGCUCAUGGCUGGCUGGAUGUGAGAUUUAAGAGAAAGAAAGAAGUUGAGGAUGACUUUCUGUGUAGGUGAACAGAAGGACAGAAGCAACUUUUUGAGAUGAGAAGGCCUCAAAGAACAGGUGUUUAUAUGUAUGUAUGAGGAGGAAGUUGGAGAGGUGGUAGAAGAUUUGGGGAUUUGGUUUAGAAUAUGUCAAAUGGAAGAAGUCCAACAGAAAUCUAGGUGAUGAUGACACGUACAUAGAUGGUCUAAAUGUCACGCCAGAGAUCCAAGCUGGACAGAGAAAUCUGGGACUGAGCAGGGUGUUGAGGGUAUUUAAGGCCUGAGAUCAGAUAAGCUCACUGAGGAAGUGAGUGAUGACAGAGAGGAGAGCUAGGGCUCCCCAACACUGACAGGCUGGAGGAGCAGAGAGCAACCAAGCAAAGGAGACUGAGAACAAAUAGAAAAGUAAGAAAAGGACCAUGAGAUGCUGCUUCCCAGAAGGCCCAGUGAAGAAGGAAUUCCAGAAGGAAAAGUCAAUGUUGCUAAUACAUCCAGAAGGAGAAGACUUGAGACGUGAUGACUGCUGGGUUUAACAAUAUGGCGGUCAUGAUCUUGACAAGCGUUAUUUCCACGCAGUGAAUGAGACGGAAGCCAGGUUGGAGGGGUUUAGGAAGAACUGGGGGUAGAGGCACUGGAGACAGCAGAGACAGCUGACUCUUCUGAGGGUUUUCCUGUACAAGAGAACAGAAGAAUGAGACUAAUUUGACAGGGAUUGGGGGUCUAGGCUGGGCAUUUUUGGAAGAUGGGGGCUAUCACAGCAUGUUUGUUGGGGGAAAUCAGUGAGGCAGGAGAUCUCUGGUAAUGAUAACCUUGAAUAGGUGAAAGCAGAUGCACAGAAGUGAAAGGCAGGCAAGGAUGGGUAUCCCACAGAAGCAGGAGGGAAGGAAGCCGACAGAUGUGGGUGUGAAGUCAUUCCCUUCUGGGGGCUUCUGUUCUCUUGAUGAAAUAGGAAACUAAGGUUAUCAGCUGAGAGAGAGGUUGAAGAAGAUAAACAACUUUGCAAAGAGAAUAGAAGAUAUUCCACAGUCAUCCAGGAGGGUAGGAGGGUGAACAUGCUUGGGAAACAGUGUGUGGUGGAUGGGCAGCAAGGAGGUCCACUGGAGGUGGGAGGUCAUGAACCUGAGAGGACCUUAUCACAAGGAUACACUGGUUUCUCAAAACACUAAAAAGAGAACUACCAUAUGACCCAGAAGUUCCUCUUCUGGGUAUAUAUCCAGAAAAACAAACAAAUAAACAAAACAAAACAAAAACAAAAACACUAAUUGGAAAAGACACAUGUACCCCAAUGUUGACAGCAGCACUACUUACAAUUGCCAAGAAACAGAAUCAACCUCAGUAUCCAUUGAUUGGUGAAUGGAUAAAAAAGAUGUGGCAUAUGUAUAUACAUACACAAUGGGAUAUUAGCCACAAAAAGAGAAUAAAAUUUUGCCGUUUACAACAACAUGGAUGGACUUGGAGGUUAUUAUGCUAAGUGAAAUAAGUCAGAGAAAGACCAACACUGUAUGAUAUCGCUUAUAUGGAAUAUACUCAAUAUUUUAUGAUAACUAUAAAUGGAAUAUAACCUUUAAAAAUUAUGAAUCACUAUGUUGUACAUUUGUACCAUAUAAUAUUGUCUAUCAACUAUACUUCAACAGAAAAAUUUAAAACUAAAUGGAGCCUGCACAGUGUGGUGGUAUGUUAAGAGCACCAGGUGCUGAAUUCAUGAAGAGCUGGAUUUCCAAGAGCCCAUCACAUGACAAGCAUGAUGCCUCACUCACUUUCACCCUAAUUAUGAGCGCCCCCAGCCCACAACAAGGCAGGAGUUACUAUCUCCAUUUUACUAAUGAGGGGACCAACACAGAGAGGCCAGGUGAGGUGCCCAAGGCCAAGCUAGAGAAAGAAGCAGAACCAGAUUUCACACCAGUCUAGGCCAGCACCCCCACUGGCAAUGCCACACAAAUGGUUGUCUCAACAUCUGAGCGCUCCUUCCCACAUUUAGGCCUUUAUAAGGGUUUCCAAAAGAACUUUUUUCUAUUUUCAUUUUUUGCAUGAAGUGUCUAGUUUCUGUUUUUGUCUUUUUGUUUGUUUUUGUCUUUUUCGGGUGCACCCACAGCAUAUGGAAGUUCCCAGGCUAGGGGUCAAGUUGAAGCUGUAGCCACUGGCCUACACCACAGCCACAGCAAUGCCAGAUCCAAGCCUCAUCUGCAAUCUACACCACAGCUCACAGCAACAUCGGAUCCUUAACCCACUGAGCAAGGCCAGGGAUCAAAACUGUGUCCUCAUAGAUGCUAGUCAGAUUCGUUUUCACUGAGCCACAAGGGGAACUCCCAAAUGUCUAGAUUAUAAACAAAUACUCCAAUAUAAAUAUUUCGAUGGUCAACUCAAUUCAAAUGAAUAACAGCUGCUUUCUUAGUAACGGAAACUAGAGCAGAGGUAGCAGGUUGGUAGAGAGAGAAAAGGUAAAAUGGACUACUCUUCUGAGCCUAGAAAGAAAAAGGAUAAGAAACGAUCUAAUACUUGGUCAGGAACUAACUUAAUAAGAGACUGACUGAUCCUGAUUUCCCUACGUCCUGAAAAUCAAAACAGGAUCA